UGCGUAGGCGGGGCAAUUAGUCAGUGGUGCAAUCCUGCGGCUUAACCGUAGAACUGCCAUUGAUACUGUUGCCCUUGAGUAUAGUUGAAGUGGGCGGAAUAUGUAAUGUAGCGGUGAAAUGCAUAGAGAUUACAUAGAACACCAAUUGCGAAGGCAGCUCACUAAGCUAUCACUGACGCUGAGGCACGAAAGCGUGGGUAGCGAACAGGAUUAGAUACCCUGGUAGUCC
rnacentral:rRNA from 1 species